rnacentral:rRNA from 1 species
UACAGAGGGUGCGAGCGUUAAUCGGAAUUACUGGGCGUAAAGCGUGCGUAGACGGUAGCAUAAGUCAGAUGUGAAAGCCCCGGGCUCAACCUGGGAACUGCAUUUGAGACUGCUCUGCUCGGGUGCGGAAGAGGGAAGCGGAAUUUCCGGUGUAGCGGUGAAAUGCGUAGAUAUCGGAAGGAACACCAGUGGCGAAAGCGGCUUCCUGGUCCGACACCGACGUUCAGGCACGAAAGCGUGGGGAGCAAACAGG